GCGGAAAAAAAAAAAAAAAAAAAAAAAAAAAAAAAAAAAAAAAAAAA
rnacentral:ribozyme from 13 species